rnacentral:rRNA from 1 species
UACGUGUACAUAGCAUUAAGGUCAUGCCUGCCCAGUGAGUCCAUAACUUUAACGGCCGCGGUAUCCUAACCGUGCAAAGGUAGCGCAAUCACUUGCCUCUUAAUUAGGGGCCCGUAUGAACGGCCAACCGAGGGUGCCCCUGUCUCCUAAGGCCAUACAAUGAAACUGAGCCCCUAGUACAAACGCUAGGAUUAUAAUAUAAGACGAGAAGCGCCUAUGGAG